rnacentral:rRNA from 1 species
UGCAAGCGUUACUCGGAAUUACUGGGCGUAAAGGGUGCGUAGGUGGUUUGUUAAGUCUGCUGUGAAAUCCCCGGGCUCAACCUGGGAAUGGCAGUGGAUACUGGCAAGCUAGAGUGCGGUAGAGGGUAGUGGAAUUCCCGGUGUAGCAGUGAAAUGCGUAGAGAUCGGGAGGAACACCAGUGGCGAAGGCGGCUACCUGGACCAGCACUGACACUGAAGCACGAAAGCGUGGGGAGCAAACAGG